GAUGAACGCUGGCGGCGUGCCUAAUACAUGCAAGUCGAGCGCAGGAAAUCGACGGAACCCUUCGGGGGGAAGUCGACGGAAUGAGCGGCGGACGGGUGAGUAACACGUAAAGAACCUGCCCUCAGGUCUGGGAUAACCACGAGAAAUCGGGGCUAAUACCGGAGGGGGCAUCGGACCGAAUGGUCCGAGGAUGAAAGGCGCUUCGGCGUCGCCUGGGGAUGGCGUUGCGGUGCAUUAGCUAGUUGGUGGGGUAAUGGCCCACCAAGGGGACGAUGCAUAGCCGACCUGAGAGGGUGAUCGGCCACACUGGGACUGAGACACGGCCCAGACUCCUACGGGAGGCAGCAGUAGGGAAUCUUCCACAAUGGACGAAAGUCUGAUGGAGCAACGCCGCGUGAACGAUGAAGGCCUUCGGGUCGUAAAGUUCUGUUGUAAGGGAAGAACAAGUGCCGCAGGCAAUGGCGGCACCUUGACGGUACCUUGCGAGAAAGCCACGGCUAACUACGUGCCAGCAGCCGCGGUAAUAC
rnacentral:rRNA from 1 species